GUGAGAAAAUGUUCUUGACACAAGACACAUGAGCAAGAUGGCUGAGCAUGGGUGUGUGGUACCCACAGAUCUGCCCCGGGGGCAUCAUCAUGGAGAACCUCAAUUGCUUUGCUUCACCAGCCUGUUGGAAAUGAAGUCCUGGCCACAGCAGCCUCUGGACUUCCGGCCACCUGAAAUUACUCUUGGCUUUCUCUCCAUGUAUGACCUUAAGGGACUAUGGGGCCAUAAGUGAGCAGAGCCCUCCCUCCCACUCCCCCGCUUUCCAUAGCCCUGAGCUGCUAGUGAAACAGCUGGGUUCUUCCCCCCCAGCCCCACCCCACCGGGGUGAGUUGGCAGGGCUCCUGGAGGGUGAGUAGGGACCCAUUGGAUUGGAACUUCUCAGCUUUCUCCCAGAAGACUUGGAGACCGAGGUCUAGCUUGAUGAGCUCAUUCACAAUGACCCUUAACCUGUGAUGUCACCAAGCUGCUUUUACUAAGUCCAGGGAUGUGCAUGGGGGAUGCAGAUAUAUUUAUUUUUAGCACUGAGGACUAGAAAUCUUGGGGGAGAUGUUCAGGUUGGUCAAGUGACGCUCAAUUCUGUGUUAGAGUUAGUGGGGUUUUUGUUGUUUUCUUAAAGAUGCUUGUAACUGAAGAAAUCACACUGAAUUGGACCCCUGAUGAGUCCAUCUAAGGGUGUUUUGUGUGUGCUGAUUUGUUUUUUUUUUUAAACCUCCAGUAUGAUAUGCAGUGUGUGUAUAGUGGGGGUGGGGACUCCAGGCGACCUGAACAUCCAUUAUGGCUGUGCUUAGGACUGCGUUUUGUUUUGUGUUCCUGUGGCUAUGCACUUUGUAAAUACACCGAUGCUACUCCACCCUGCAAGUGUGAAAUAAAGUUUUCUCUCUUCGUGAUC
rnacentral:lncRNA from 1 species